rnacentral:rRNA from 1 species
GACGAACGCUGGCGGCGUGCUUAACACAUGCAAGUCGAACGGAAAGGCCCUGCUUGCAGGGUACUCGAGUGGCGAACGGGUGAGUAACACGUGGGUGAUCUGCCUCUAACUUCGGGAUAAGCUUGGGAAACUGGGUCUAAUACCGGAUAGGACCAUCGUUUAGUGUCGGUGGUGGAAAGUUUUUUCGGUUAGAGAUGAGCCCGCGGCCUAUCAGCUUGUUGGUGGGGUAAUGGCCUACCAAGGCGUCGACGGGUAGCCGGCCUGAGAGGGUGUACGGCCACAUUGGGACUGCGAUACGGCCCAGACUCCUACGAGAGGCAGCAGUGGGGAAUAUUGCGCAAUGGGCGGAAGCCUGAUGCAGCGACGCCGCGUGGGGGAUGAAGGCCUUCGGGUUGUAAACUCCUUUCGACAGGGACGAAGCGUAAGUGACGGUAUCUGUAUAAGAAGCACCGGCUAACUACGUGCCAGCCGCCGCAGUAA